rnacentral:rRNA from 1 species
AGUGAACGCUGGCGGUAGGCCUAACACAUGCAAGUCGAACGGCAGCACAGUAAGAGCUUGCUCUUACGGGUGGCGAGUGGCGGACGGGUGAGGAAUACAUCGGAAUCUACUUUUUCGUGGGGGAUAACGUAGGGAAACUUACGCUAAUACCGCAUACGACCUACGGGUGAAAGCAGGGGAUCUUCGGACCUUGCGCGAUUGAAUGAGCCGAUGUCGGAUUAGCUAGUUGGCGGGGUAAAGGCCCACCAAGGCGACGAUCCGUAGCUGGUCUGAGGGGAUGAUCAGCCACACUGGAACUGAGACACGGUCCAGACUCCUACGGGAGGCGGCAGUGGGGAAUAUUGGACAAUGGGCGCAAGCCUGAUCCAGCCAUACCGCGUGGGUGAAGAAGGCCUUCGGGUUGUAAAGCCCUUUUGUUGGGAAAGAAAAGCAGCAGGUUAAUACCCCGCUGUUCUGACGGUACCCAAAGAAUAAGCACCGGCUAACUUCGUG